CUUUGUGAAGCCACAAAGGAGCAAAGACCUACAAAAAUUAGGGGACUUCCAAGACCCAUCUCAAGACUACCUUUUUUAGGACACCUUCUCCAACAGCAAUGCUAUAAUCUUUAAUCUGUAACACUCAUAUUGUUCUUUGACUAGUUUGGAAUGGUGGACCAGGAUAUAUGAUUUCUACUCAUCCUCAUCAUGCUGCCUAGAAUAUGAUCUUCCUGGAACAAUCUUUUCUUCUGAGAUGAAGAGACUUUGUCAAAGGUGGUACAUUGCACUUGCCAAUGUUCAACAGAUGCCUUUGAAUCGAUCAGUGGAGCAAGACUUGCUAAAGUGGUAACCUGUUGCCUGGCUUUGUGGAAGUCUUUCAACUGUGUGUGCCAGCUCUCUAAGUAUUAAAAAUAACAACAACAACAAUUAUAAUAGGAGUUACCUGUGGAAGCCAUGAACAGCAAUUCCCCUGACAGCCAGUGACAACAAGAGAAAGGGGAGGGAGUCAUGCUGGGAGUCAUCGAGAACCUAGCUAACGCAGAGCCAGGGAGCAGCUCUGAGGAAUUAUAUCUAGAAUAGAGCUGCUGGAAAACGCCCACAUUCAACAACAGCAUCCCCGACUUUCACUACUCGGCAGAUAGCCUCUGAGAGACCUUGCUCCAUGCGUUGCACAGUGAGUGAGGAAGGGGAGAUUCUGUGGCCCCAGCCUGUAAACUUGAGAGAUUCCCUGACAUGAGGAUUGCUGAGAGACUGAGCAGAUGCAAUAGGAAUGCCUGCGUUCUUCCCUGACUGCCUAUUUUGGCCAUCUCCCUGCUUUUAGACUCUGCAGUGGAAGGGUCAGAGGCUUUAGCCAAUCCAAAGAUACAGGAGAAAGAUGUGGAAUCUACCUCAAUGGGUAGGGCCAAUUAAGACAAGAAGGGAGUGUUCAGAAAACAAAGUUGCAAGAAUCUGGAGUCGUAAAAGGGCCAAGUCUUGCUACUCAGUUAACCCCUAAACACUGACGGGAACUUCAUUUUAAUGUAUGAAUGUUGGGGAGAGGUGGCAUAUGGUAAGAAAUCAUGGCAUCUUGAGUGAGUGGACUUGAUUGUCUAGUCCCCCGGUUGGCCUUCAGUGAAGAGAAUUAGUAACUGUAUCUUGACUUCCCUGAUCAGCCCUCCCCCUCUCUCCCAGCAUCAUCUAGAGAUCUUUUCAGGGAGAGGCUGUGCAGUCAUGUGUCCGGGCACUAGGAACUCUGGGGCUCCCUGAGAUUCU